GACGAACGCUGGCGGCGUGGAUAAGGCAUGCAAGUUGAGCGCUGAAGGUUGGUACUUGUACCGACUGGAUGAGCAGCGAACGGGUGAGUAACGCGUGGGGAAUCUGCCUUUGAGCGGGGGACAACAUUUGGAAACGAAUGCUAAUACCGCAUAAAAACUUUAAACACAAGUUUUAAGUUUGAAAGAUGCAAUUGCAUCACUCAAAGAUGAUCCCGCGUUGUAUUAGCUAGUUGGUGAGGUAAAGGCUCACCAAGGCGAUGAUACAUAGCCGACCUGAGAGGGUGAUCGGCCACAUUGGGACUGAGACACGGCCCAAACUCCUACGGGAGGCAGCAGUAGGGAAUCUUCGGCAAUGGACGAAAGUCUGACCGAGCAACGCCGCGUGAGUGAAGAAGGUUUUCGGAUCGUAAAACUCUGUUGGUAGAGAAGAACGUUGGUGAGAGUGGAAAGCUCAUCAAGUGACGGUAACUACCCAGAAAGGGACGGCUAACUACGUGCCAGCCGCCGCGGUAA
rnacentral:rRNA from 1 species